rnacentral:rRNA from 1 species
UACGGAAGGCAGCAGUGGGGAAUAUUGGACAAUGGGCGAAAGCCUGAUCCAGCCAUGCCGCAUGAGUGAAGAAGGCCUUCGGGUUGUAAAGCUCUUUUAGUGAGAAAGAUAAUGACGGUACUCACAGAAGAAGUCCUGGCUAACUCCGUGCCAGCAGCCGCGGUAAUACGGAGAGGGCUAGCGUUAUUCGGAAUUAUUGGGCGUAAAGAGCGCGUAGGCUGAUUAGUAAGUUAAAGUGAAAUCCCAAAGCUUAACUUUGGAAUUGCUUUUUAAAACUGCUAGUCUAGAGAUUGAAAGAGGAUAGAGGAAUUCCUAGUGUAGAGGUGAAAUUCGUAAAUAUUAGGAGGAACACCAGUGGCGAAGGCGUCUAUCUGGUUCAAAUCUGACGCUGAGGCGCGAAGGGCGUGGGGAGCAAACAGGGAUUAGAUACC